rnacentral:rRNA from 1 species
AGUUACGUUAAGUAGCAAGGUUAAGCACUUAAGGUGCGGAGCCGUAGCGAAAGCGAGUUUUAACUGAGCGUUCAGUUACUUGACGUAGACCCGAAACCGGGCGACCUACCCAUGAGCAGGAUGAAGCGAAAGUAAAAUUUCGUGGAGGUCCGAACCCACGAGCGUUGAAAAGCUCGGGGAUGACUUGUGGGUAGCGGUGAAAUUCCAAUCGAGCCCGGAGAUAGCUGGUUCUCCCCGAAAUAGCUUUAGGGCUAGCCUCAAGGUGAGAGAUACGGAGGUAGAGCACUGAAUGUCCUAGGGGGUAUUGCACCUACCGAAGACUAUCAAACUCCGAAUGCCGUCAUCUUAUACUUGGGAGUCAGACUGUGGGUGAUAAGAUUCAUAGUCGAAAGGGCAACAGCCCAGAUCGUCAGCUAAGGUCCCUAAAUGUAAGUUAAGUGGUAAAGGAUGUGGGAUUGCACAGACAACCAGGAUGUUGGCUUAGAAGCAGCCACUCAUUCAAAGAGUGCGUAAUAGCUCACUGGUCGAGUGAUCCUGCGCCGAAGAUUUCCGGGGCUAAAACUUACUACCGAAGCUACGGCAUCAGUAAUGAUGGGUAGGGGAGCUUCCCAUACGGGUUGAAGCAUGACCGUAAGGACAUGUGGACAGUAUGGGAGUGAGAAUGUUGGCAUGAGUAGCGAGAUGUGGGUGAGAAUCCCACAGGCCGUAAACCCAAGGUUUCCAGGGGAAGGUUCGUCCGCCCUGGGUUAGUCGGGACCUAAGCUGAGGCCGAAAGGCGUAGGUGAUGGACAACAGGUUGAUAUUCCUGUACUACCGAUAACCGUUUGAGAGAAGGGAUGACACAGUAGGAUAAGCUAAGCACACUGUUGGUUAUGUGUGCCCAAGCAUUGAGGCAGUCAAAGUAGGCAAAUCCGCUUUGAUAAUGCUGGGAUGUGAUGGGGAGCGAAAUUUAGUAGCGAAGUAGCUGAUUUCACACUGUCAAGAAAAGUCUCUAUCGAGGUUAAAGGUACCCGUACCGCAAACCGACACAGGUGGGUGAGGAGAGUAUCCUAAGGCCAGCGAGAGAACUGUUGUUAAGGAACUCGGCAAAAUGACCCCGUAACUUAGGGAUAAGGGGUGCCACCAUCAGGUGGCCGCAGAGAAUAGGCCCAAGCGACUGUUUACCAAAAACAUAGGUUUCUGCUAAGUCGCAAGACGAUGUAUAGGAGCUGACGCCUGCCCGGUGCUGGAAGGUUAAGGGGAUCUGUUAGAGCAAUCGAAGCAGUGAACUUAAGCCCCAGUAAACGGCGGCCGUAACUAUAACGGUCCUAAGGUAGCGAAAUUCCUUGUCGGGUAAGUUCCGACCCGCACGAAAGGCGUAACGAUUUGGGCACUGUCUCAACAACAGACUCGGUGAAAUUGUAAUUCCGGUGAAGAUGCCGGAUACCUGCGACAGGACGGAAAGACCCCAUGGAGCUUUACUGUAGCUUGACAUUGGGUCUUGGUACUACAUGUACAGGAUAGGUGGGAGGCUUUGAAACCAGGACGCCAGUUUUGGCGGAGCCAUCCUUGGGAUACCACCCUUGUAGUACUGGGACUCUAACCAUAGGCCAUGAAUCUGGUCUUGGGACACUGUCAGGUGGGCAGUUUGACUGGGGCGGUCGCCUCCCAAAAGGUAACGGAGGCGCUCAAAGGUUCUCUCAGUACGGUCGGAAAUCGUACGUAGAGUGUAAAGGCAAAAGAGAGCUUGAUUGCAAGACAUACAGGUCGAGCAAGGAUGAAAAUCGGACUUAGUGAUCCGGUGGUUCUGCGUGGAAGGGCCAUCGCUCAACGGAUAAAAGCUACCCUGGGGAUAACAGGCUUAUCUCCCCCAAGAGUCCACAUCGACGGGGAGGUUUGGCACCUCGAUGUCGGCUCAUCACAUCCUGGGGCUGUAGUAGGUCCCAAGGGUUGGGCUGUUCGCCCAUUAAAGUGGUACGCGAGCUGGGUUCAGAACGUCGUGAGACAGUUCGGUCCCUAUCCGUCGCAGGCGUAGGAAAUUUGAGAAGACCUGUCCUUAGUACGAGAGGACCGGGAUGGACG